UCUACUUAAUCAUCAUUUGCAUUUCCUCUCCUCCCCAACUCCUUCCUCUGUUCACUGCGCCACCGCCAUCCCGAUCACAUUGGCACCAUGUGACCACCGUCGGUCGAGCCUUCUUUCUCCUCCACCGAUCGUCGGAGGUCCUUGGGUCUUCUUCCUUCUCAGGUCAUCGCCCCCACGCAGGUAGAUCUUCAACCAAGAGGGAGAUCUGAGACCUAGUCUCGAUCUCCCAUCGCUGCAACUCUACGCACUCCAUCUCUGACCCUCGGACCACAUCUCUGACCCACAGACCACAGUACUCUAGCUGACCUUUGCCUUGGUCCGUGCCCUACUCUCGAUCCUCCCCUUGUACAGAGACGAGGCUCCAGCAAGGAGAUUGGUCGCUGGUGGCUAGCCGCUGCUACCAGAUCCUUUGCUACGGCUAUUUCCCUAGCUCUAGGGUCAGUGCUAGAUCACUAUCCCUGGUUUGACAUGAAGCUUCUGGCCUGGAUCUCAUAAAGAGUGCAGUUCCAUCCAAACAACUCUGUUUCAGCCAGAAAUCAGGGAUCGACUAUGAGGGUAUUGAUUUGGGAUAUCAGCAACUCUACCAUGCCCCAACUAUAAUUUCCGGCAGCAAGCACUUCUCCGAUUGUGAGUCAAUAGUGAAGCAUCCGGAUUUGGAUAUGACAAUGGCUCUGUUAAGUGUUGGGAGAGAGUGGUGGAGGAAUUGGAUCUUUUGAAACAGUACCUUUGGAGCCUUUCCGAUUAUGAUUGAGAAUAUUAUUAAAUUCAAGAUAUUAGUUUUCUCAACGAGCUCAUGCAAGUUAUUCAGACUGUGCUGCAACAAUGUUUUCCAUCAUUGUUUGAUCAGAGGUGAUAUUUAACUUGGGAAGGAUCUCUACCAUGAUUUAUGGAGCUAACGUGGCUGUUAUAUUCUGUGGAUACAUAAUCUAUGACACAGAUAACCUGAUCAAACAUUAAUCCUACGAUGAGCAUAUUAAUUGGGUAGCGGUGGCGCUGUACCUAGAAAUAAUCAACUUGUUCUUGUCUCUGCUUGCUUUGUUCAGAGCAUUUGAAAGUUAUGAACCAAGUAAGCCUCACAAUGCGCUGUUAAUACUCAACGUGAAUGUUCAAAUCCAUCACUUGAAUCACUGGUAAUGAAAUU